rnacentral:rRNA from 1 species
UAAAGAUUCAUCGCUGAUAGAUAGGCGUGCGUUCCAUUAGGCAGUUGGCGGGGUAACGGCCCACCAAACCGACGAUGGAUAGGGGUUCUGAGAGGAAGGUCCCCCACAUUGGUACUGAGACACGGACCAAACUCCUACGGGAGGCAGCAGUGAGGAAUAUUGGUCAAUGGGCGUAAGCCUGAACCAGCCAAGUCGCGUGAGGGAUGAAGGUUCUAUGGAUCGUAAACCUCUUUUAUAAGGGAAUAAAGUGUGGGACGUGUCCUAUUUUGUAUGUACCUUAUGAAUAAGGAUCGGCUAACUCCGUGCCAGCAGCCGCGGUAAUACGGAGGAUCCGAGCGUUAUCCGGAUUUAUUGGGUUUAAAGGGUGCGUAGGCGGCCUUUUAAGUCAGCGGUGAAAGUCUGUGGCUCAACCAUAGAAUUGCCGUUGAAACUGGGGGGCUUGAGUAUGUUUGAGGCAGGCGGAAUGCGUGGUGUAGCGGUGAAAUGCUUAGAUAUCACGCAGAACCCCGAUUGCGAAGGCAGCCUGCCAAGCCAUGACUGACGCUGAUGCACGAAAGCGUGGGGAUCAAACAGGAUUAGAUACCCUGGUAGUCCACGCAGUAAACGAUGAUCACUAGCUGUUUGCGAUACAGUGUAA